rnacentral:rRNA from 1 species
UACGAAGGGGGCUAGCGUUGUUCGGAAUUACUGGGCGUAAAGCGCGCGCAGGCGGUCUUCCAAGUCAGUGGUGAAAGCCCGGAGCUCAACUCCGGAAAUGCCAUUGAAACUGUAAGACUUGAGGAUGAGAGAGGUGAGUGGAAUUCCAGUGUAGCGGUGAAAUGCGUAGAUAUCGGGAGGAACACCUGUGGCGAAAGCGGCGCACUGGACCAUAACUGACGCUGAUGCGCGAAAGCUAGGGGAGCAAACAGG